rnacentral:rRNA from 1 species
CCUUACGGGAGGCAGCAGUGGGGAAUUUUGGACAAGGGGGGAAACCCUAAUCCAGCCAUGCCGGGUGUGAAAGAAGGUUUUUGGAUUUAAAGCAUUUUGCUGGAAGAAAGGGCAGUAGGUUAACCCGGGAGAGUGACGUAC